rnacentral:rRNA from 1 species
UACGUAGGGUGCGAGCGUUGUCCGGAUUUAUUGGGCGUAAAGGGCUCGUAGGCGGCCUGUCGCGUCGGGAGUGAAAGCCCACUGCUUAACGGUGGGUCUGCUUCCGGUACGGGCGGGCUGGAGUAUGGCAGGGGAGACUGGAAUUCCUGGUGUAGCGGUGGAAUGCGUAGAGAUCCGGAAGAACACCGGUGGCGAAGGCGGCCCGCUGGGCAACUGCUGACACUGAGGCGCGACAGCGUGGGGAGCAAACAGG